GACGAACGCUGGCGGCGUGCCUAAUACAUGCAAGUAGAACGCUGAAGGAGGAGCUUGCUUCUCUGGAUGAGUUGCGAACGGGUGAGUAACGCGUAGGUAACCUGCCUGGUAGCGGGAGAUAACUAUUGGAAACGAUAGCUAAUACCGCAUAAUAGUAGAUGUUGCAUGACAUUUGCUUAAAAGGUGCAAUUGCAUCACUACCAGAUGGACCUGCGUUGUAUUAGCUAGUUGGUGGGGUAACGGCUCACCAAGGCGACGAUACAUAGCCGACCUGAGAGGGUGAUCGGCCACACUGGGACUGAGACACGGCCCAGACUCCUACGGGAGGCAGCAGUAGGGAAUCUUCGGCAAUGGACGGAAGUCUGACCGAGCAACGCCGCGUGAGUGAAGAAGGUUUUCGGAUCGUAAAGCUCUGUUGUAAGAGAAGAACGAGUGUGAGAGUGGAAAGUUCACACUGUGACGGUAGCUUACCAGAAAGGGACGGCUAACUACGUG
rnacentral:rRNA from 1 species